rnacentral:rRNA from 1 species
UUUAUGGAGAGUUUGAUCCUGGCUCAGGAUGAACGCUGGCGGCGUGCCUAAUACAUGCAAGUCGAGCGAACAGAUAAGGAGCUUGCUCCUUUGACGUUAGCGGCGGACGGGUGAGUAACACGUGGGUAACCUACCUAUAAGACUGGAAUAACUCCGGGAAACCGGGGCUAAUGCCGGAUAACAUGUUGAACCGCAUGGUUCUACAGUGAAAGACGGUCUUGCUGUCACUUAUAGAUGGACCCGCGCCGUAUUAGCUAGUUGGUGGGGUAACGGCCUACCAAGGCGACGAUACGUAGCCGACCUGAGAGGGUGAUCGGCCACACUGGAACUGAGACACGGUCCAGACUCCUACGGGAGGCAGCAGUAGGGAAUCUUCCGCAAUGGGCGAAAGCCUGACGGAGCAACGCCGCGUGAGUGAUGAAGGUCUUCGGAUCGUAAAGCUCUGUUGUUAGGGA